rnacentral:tRNA from 1 species
UGUCUGACUCUUUGGUAAAGAAUCUGCCUGCAAUGCAGGAGACCCAGGUUCAAUCCCUGG